rnacentral:lncRNA from 1 species
UUCAUUUGUUUAUUUAUUGGAAUGUUUAGUUAUUGAAAUAAAAUCCACAUAUAACCAAAACAGCGCUACCUGUACCUGUGCAAUUCAAAGUAAAGGUGUAUAGCUUUUAUUUAAUGUCCACAACCAUACAUUUACAAGGGGGGGGUAGAGAAUCAGACAGACCUCCUACAUACAUGUACAGUAACUUCACGAGGUGGUCUAUUCCCUCAGACCAUUGGGAGCAUGGCUUUCUAUACCUUUUCAGUACCUUUAUAUCCUUUUGAGAUUAGAUGAGCAGCCAAUACUUGACCCAGUGUUCUAAGGAUGAUAGUGAUCAUCCUUAGAUGCCCCUCUUUCUCACCAAGCAGCUAAAUGUUUGGCUGCUAUAUUUAUCAAGCUACUAUGUUCAAGUGCUGCUUGGCAAAGAGACUGCAUGCAGUGGACAUAGAAAAUGCUUCACAACCUAUUUUACACAACUCCUUUGCAAGGCAUAACAGGCACUAGAAGGAGCUGGCUAUGAGUAAUGAAACACAGAGUGUAACAACUACAGCAUAGCUGAGUCACCUGAUGACGGUGACAUAAAGGCUGAAAUCCGGUAGUAAGUCACAACUGGAGUUGAAUCAAUGGAACUUACAGAAAACUCAGCAAAUCCCCACCAAUUUAAUGGGCCUACUCUAGCUGCAAUUUACUACAUGACUGAAAGCAGUGAGAUUCCUAUCUCCAUCUGUAGUUUGUAUUUGCUUUUGUAGUUAACAGCAGGGGUGGCUACGGUACUUAAGUGAGUUCUAUAGCACAAGCCCCUGGCUUGUAUAAUUCUAAAAAGAUAGAAUAAGCAGGCAUGAAACCAAAUGAAACAAAAAUAACUUUUGGUACAUUUGACGGUCAUGGGUACUGUUUUUCAUUUCGUUUUCCUUAAAAGGGGCGUAAAUUUUAAGAAUAUGAAGGAUAACCUGUUCAGUCUCCGCAAGGAGAUUUUUAAGACCUCGGAGUGAGUCAAAUGCUUUCUUGUCUCAGGUUUUCUCCAGUUUGCAUAAAAUAUCUCUAUGUUUGCAAAAGUGAAGUCUUUUCCCUUUGAGAAGCAAAAAAAAUAUAUGCGUACACAAAACAGGCAAGCACAGAAGGAAUGACUGGCGGAUUUAUCAAAAAGUUGCAAACAUACCACUCUUGAGUUUCUCAUUUAUAAAAGUUUGUGCAACAAGAAAACAGUGAUCAUAGUUGUACACCGUUCUGCAUUUCAUAAAUGCAAAAAUUCAGUUUACUCCAUCAGAAAAUGCCUUGCCCUCUUAAAAGGUUAAGGGGGGUGGAGAUAGGCAGUUUCUCAGACUUGUGUGUUGAUGAGACAGGCAAGGAAUUAACUUCCCUAAUAUUUUUAGAAGUUCUAUAGCAGGAAAACACCAACAGUAAUGCUUCUUUGCUCUCCAGCCUUCUAUCCAUUCAUCCAGCAUGUUUUAUAUUUAAAUAAAGAGCUUAAUUAUUAUUUUUUUGCGUAAAUG